rfam:Pluralibacter gergoviae strain JS81F13 contig_15, whole genome shotgun sequence.
UUGCAUUUACGGCAGGAGAGGAAUUGAACCUCCGGGGGCAGAGGUUCGAUUCGAGCGGAGCGAGAAAACGUUGCGCCAGCAACGGCCCGCAGGGCGAGUCGCGAAGCGGCGAGUCAUCCUCUAUCACCGACCA